CAGUCCUUCGCUCCCAGCACCCCGUCCUUCCGGCCUCCACCCAGACUCGGAGAAGUGGCCCCACAUUCCUGGUAACCCGACUCCCCAGACGGGCGGGGUGGCGAGCGCAGUGGCCACGUGACCGCGCCCCGCGAACCGGGUGCAGAAAACUGGGGGACAGUGCAGCUGCUUUCCUGAACUGCAGACUUGUAGCAUCAGUGUGUCGCCAGGGCCCACAGGCAGAUCUGCAGUACAGGCAUCUUCAGCCCAACUUGCCACACAUGGUCACAAAGCUCCCUCAUGAUGACUAAAGAACCGAACAGAAUGUGGUUUUCCCAGCUUUCCUCUACCAUGCCCCUCCACCAUGAUGUUUUUGCCUUGGAACAGGCUGACAUGGAUUGAAUCCCCUGAAAUUGAAGCAAGCUUUCAUCCUCACAGUUACCUACUGCUCUGCAAUGGCUGCCAGACUCCCUCUGCCAAGCUUGCACUGUCGGCUGAGACAGGGGAGGAGGAAGAGGAGCUGGCCAAAGGGGCAUGUCUCUCAGGUGCAGCCAUAACUCCAGCCAGUGGGCAACAGUUGGUUCUUCUGUGAAAAUGGACUUGUACACAAAUUCCCCUGAGCAGUGGACGAAAAUGAGAAGUGAAGGCCCAAGAAAAUGAAGACUGUGAGCUCUGUGAAAAUGAGGACCUCAUCUGUCUCCUUUGCCACCGGAACAUAUGCAUCUAGAGUAGUCCCUGGUGCUGAGUAGGCACACAUAUUUGUUGAAUUAAAGAAAUAAAAACAACCAUAGAAUGAGGAUGUAUAUCCAAGGAUAUUUAUUACAGUAUUACUGCAGGGGCAAAAGAGUGGACUCACAGAGAAUGACCAUGAUUGUGAAUUGGUCGGCAGCUCCACCCCUCCCACAUGAAGCACUGGGUUUAAUGGCAGGGGUGUAGUAUCAGAUGCAUAGGCUUUAAUCUCUGUAUUUGCCUUGAAUAUAUGAUGAACAGCUUUGGGAAAUAUGUUUAGCUCCCGUGCCUUAGAUUUUCUUAGCCAUUAAAUGAAGACAAUAGUGAAACCAACCUCAUAAGUUUUUUGUGGAUAAUAAUUCAGGCAACAUAUCUGGGAAUAAUGCCUGGCACAUAAUAGGUACUCAAUACAAUAUUAGUUGUCCUAUUUCACAGGAAAGUAGAGAAUGGUUUAAGGGACAUUUAACUUGGAGGCAUUUCCAUGAUGAAUAAUUUAGUGAACAAAAUAUGAUGCAGACAAAUAAAUACAUGUAAUGGGUGUUACUUUUGUAAAUUGAACAAUGACAGUAAAAAUCUAAUAUAUGCUUAUGCUUAAUAUGUUUGUGACUAUAAAAUUAUGUAUAAUAUACAUGAAGCAUGUAAGGCUAGGUGCGAGAAAGAAAGAUUGUGGGGUGAAAAAGGGAAAGUUGAGAACAAAAUGACUACUAUAUUCACAUUACCAACAUAUUGCCAUGAUUAAAGUUACAGAAUGUGUAUCUACCUAUAUAGUGAUGUCUCUGAAAUAUUAAAUGUGGCUGUAUCAGAGGUGUUGGGAUUCCAGCUAUAUUUCUUUCCUUAUACAUUAGUGUAUUUGAAUUUCUGAUAAUAAAUUUCCUCAUGUAUGUAAU